rnacentral:rRNA from 1 species
UCCGUAGGCGGGCGAUUAAGUCAGUGGUGAAAGUCUGCAGCUCAACUGUAGAAUUGCCUUUGAUACUGGUCGUCUUGAGUUAUAGUGAAGUUGCCGGAAUAUGUAGUGUAGCGGUGAAAUGCAUAGAUAUUACAUAGAACACCGAUUGCGAAGGCAGGUGACUAACUAUAUACUGACGCUGAUGGACGAAAGCGUGGGGAGCGAACAGGAUUAGAUACCCUGGUAGUC